rnacentral:rRNA from 1 species
GACGAACGCUGGCGGCGUGCCUAAUACAUGCAAGUCGAGCGAGCGGAACUAACAGAUUUCCCUCGGUAAUGACGUUAGGAAAGCGAGCGGCGGAUGGGUGAGUAACACGUGGGGAACCUGCCCCAUAGUCUGGGAUACCACUUGGAAACAGGUGCUAAUACCGGAUAAGAAAGCAGAUCGCAUGAUCAGCUUUUAAAAGGCGGCGUAAGCUGUCGCUAUGGGAUGGCCCCGCGGUGCAUUAGCUAGUUGGUAAGGUAAAGGCUUACCAAGGCGAUGAUGCAUAGCCGAGUUGAGAGACUGAUCGGCCACAUUGGGACUGAGACACGGCCCAAACUCCUACGGGAGGCAGCAGUAGGGAAUCUUCCACAAUGGACGCAAGUCUGAUGGAGCAACGCCGCGUGAGUGAAGAAGGUGUUCGGAUCGUAAAGCUCUGUUGUUGGUGAAGAAGGAUAGAGGGAGUAACUGGCCUUUAUUUGACGGUAAUCAACCAGAAAGUCACGGCUAACUACGUG